AAGUUGUUGCAGUUAAAAAGCUCGUAGUCGGAUUUCGGGUUGGCGCGGUCGGUCUGCCGUUGGGUAUGCACUGACUGUCGCCUUCCUUUCCGGGGUAGAUCGUGCGUUUACUCGUGCGUUUCUCCUCGCGUUUACUUUGAGAAAAUCAGAGUGUUCAAAGCAGGCCUUUGCCAUUGUAUGUGUUAGCAUGGGAUAAUGGAAUAGGACUCUGGUGCUAUUUUGUUGGUUUCGAACGCCGGGGUAAUGAUUAAUAGGGACAGUCAGGGGCACUCGUAUUCCGUAGAGAGAGGUGAAAUUCUUAGACCCACGGAAGACGCACUACUGCGAAAGCAUUUGCCAGGGAUGUUUUCACUGAUCAAGAACGAAAGUUAGGGGAUCGAAGAUGAUCUGAUACCGUCGUAGUCUUAACCAUAAACCAUGCCGACCAGGGAUUGGUGGGUGUCGUUUUGACUCCAUCAGCACCUUUCGAGAAAUCAGAGUCUUUGGGUUCCGGGGGGAGUAUGGUCGCAAGGCUGAAACUUAAAGGAAUUGACGGAAGGGCACCC
rnacentral:rRNA from 1 species